rfam:Oryza brachyantha chromosome 3, whole genome shotgun sequence.
AGUAACCUUAUUUUUCAUUUUUCCGUGUCCAACGUUUGACCAUUCGUAUUAUUUGAAAAAUUUGUAAAAAACUUAAAAAAAAUAGUCAUGUAUAAAGUACUCUUUAUACUCUUUAUAUUUUAUCAUUUAGUAACAAUAAAAAUAUUAAUUACAAAAAAAUUUCAAAUAAGACGAAUGGUCAAACUUGGACACGGAAAAAC